AAUUCUCAACCUUAUUAGCUUUUGCUAAUAAUGGCUUGGAUUUGGGGGUCUUUUUGCCGGCUUCUUCACCGAGGUCAGCUCCCCUUAAAUGCAUUAGCUGGUGCCCUGUGUGGACUUGUCUAUUGGUGUGAUAAUUAUCUACGCCGUGGAUGUCUGCAAUAUUAUGGGUUUGCACUGCUUCUAACUGUCUGUUUGUUCAGACAAUACAUGACA
rnacentral:misc_RNA from 2 species